GACGAACGCUGGCGGCGUGCUUAACACAUGCAAGUCGAACGGAAAGGCCCUGCUUUUGUGGGGUGCUCGAGUGGCGAACGGGUGAGUAACACGUGAGUAACCUGCCCUAGAUUUUGGGAUAACUUCAGGAAACUGGGGCUAAUCCCGGAUAGGAGCUCCUGCUGCAUGGUGGGGUUUGGAACGUUUCGGCGGUUGGGGAUGGACUCGCGGCUUAUCGGCUUGUUGGUGGGGUAGUGGCUUACCAAGGCUUUGACGGGUAGCCGGCCUGAGAGGGUGACCGGCCACAAUGGGACUGAGGUACGGCCCAGACUCCUACGGGAGGCAACAGGGGGGAAUAUUGCACAAUGGGCGGGAGCCUGAUGCAGAGACGUCGCGUGCGGGAUGACAGCCUUCGGGUUGUAAACCGCUUUCGCCUGUGACGAAGCGUGAGUGACGGUAAUGAGAAAAGAAGCACCGGCUAACUACGUG
rnacentral:rRNA from 1 species